UUUCUCUCCAAUACUAACACGCCUGGUUUCGUGAAAACAUAUUAUUACAAAAUUAACAACUCAGUGCAGUGAGAAGGCUUUUGAGUUAGAGUUAAAGUCAGCUGAUAAUCGUGUCCUCUAGGAGCAGCUACUACAGAAGAAUGUGGAAAUCAACGAUUUACAAGAAAAAGUUUUUCGCGUUGAGCAACAACUUUCAGUCCAA